rnacentral:rRNA from 1 species
GGCUGAAACUCGCCUACAUGAAGCUGGAGUUACUAGUAAUCGCAGAUCAGAAUGCUGCGGUGAAUGCGUUCCCGGGUCUUGUACACACCGCCCGUCACACCACGGAAGUUGGGGCGCCCGAAGCCACUUAGCUAACCCUUUUGGGAAGCGAGUGUCGAAGGUGAAAUCAAUAACUGGGGUGAAGUCGUAACAAGGUAUC